rnacentral:rRNA from 1 species
UACGUAGGGUGCGAGCGUUAAUCGGAAUUACUGGGCGUAAAGCGUGCUCAGGCGGUGAUGUAAGACAGGUGUGAAAUCCCCGGGCUUAACCUGGGAACUGCAUUUGUGACUGCAUCGCUGGAGUGCGGCAGAGGGGGAUGGAAUUCCGCGUGUAGCAGUGAAAUGCGUAGAUAUGCGGAGGAACACCGAUGGCGAAGGCAAUCCCCUGGGCCUGCACUGACGCUCAUGCACGAAAGCGUGGGGAGCAAACAGG